UACGGAGGGGGCUAGCGUUGUUCGGAAUUACUGGGCGUAAAGGGCGCGUAGGCGGUGCGAUCAGUCAGGCGUGAAAGGCCCCGGGCUCAACCCGGGGACUGCGCUUGAUACUGUUGCGCUGUGAGUCCGGGGAGAGGAUGGCGGAAUUCCCAGUGUAGAGGUGAAAUUCGUAGAUAUUGGGAAGAACACCAGUGGCGAAGGCGGCUCACUGGCUCGGUACUGACGCUGAGGUGCGAAAGCGUGGGGAGCAAACAGG
rnacentral:rRNA from 1 species